GACGAACGCUGGCGGCGUGCUUAACACAUGCAAGUCGAACGGUAAGGCCCUUCGGGGUACACGAGUGGCGAACGGGUGAGUAACACGUGGGUGAUCUGCCCUGCACUUCGGGAUAAGCCUGGGAAACUGGGUCUAAUACCGGAUAGGACCACUGCCUGCAUGGGUGGUGGUGGAAAGCUUUUGCGGUGUGGGAUGGGCCCGCGGUCUAUCAGCUUGUUGGUGGGGUGAUGGCCUACCAAGGCGACGACGGGUAGCCGGCCUGAGAGGGUGACCGGCCACACGGGACUGAGAUACGGCCCAGACUCCUACGGGAGGCAGCAGUGGGGAAUAUUGCACAAUGGGCGCAAGCCUGAUGCAGCGACGCCGCGUGAGGGAUGACGGCCUUCGGGUUGUAAACCUCUUUCAGCACCGACGAAGCGCAAGUGACGGUAGGCGCAGAAGAAGGACCGGCCAACUACGUGCCAGCCGCCGCAGUAA
rnacentral:rRNA from 1 species